GCCCCGGUAACUCAGAGGUAGAGCUCCUGUAUAUGGUGAGCGAAAGCUCCUGGCAAUAACUGGCAGGAGGUCAUUGGUUCGAAUCCUACCCGGUGGCU